rnacentral:rRNA from 1 species
ACUCCUACGGGAGGCAGCAGUGGGGAAUAUUGGACAAUGGGCGAAAGCCUGAUCCAGCCAUGCCGCGUGUGUGAAGAAGGUCUUCGGAUUGUAAAGCACUUUAAGUUGGGAGGAAGGGCAGUAAGUUAAUACCUUGCUGUUUUGACGUUACCAACAGAAUAAGCACCGGCUAACUUCGUGCCAGCAGCCGCGGUAAUACGAAGGGUGCAAGCGUUAAUCGGAAUUACUGGGCGUAAAGCGCGCGUAGGUGGUUCAGCAAGUUGGAUGUGAAAUCCCCCGGGCUCAACCUGGGGAACUGCAUCCAAAACUACUGAGCUAGAGUACGGUAGAGGUGUGGAAUUUCCUGUGUAGCGGUGAAAUGCGUAGAUAUAGGAAGGAACACCAGUGGCGAAGGCGACCACCUGGACUGAUACUGACACUGAGGUGCGAAAGCGUGGGAGCAAACAGGAUUAGAUACCCCGUGGUAGGAUAGCG